CUUCCCUUCUAACAUCAGAACCUCCCAGUGUCCGUGCAGCGUUCUGACUCAAGGGGAUAUAUUAUUGUGCACUUUUCCCUCCUUGAUGGAUUCUGUUCCAUACAGGGCCCAAAAUUGUUGCAUAUAUC